rnacentral:rRNA from 1 species
CCCUUAGAUGUUCUGGGCCGCACGCGUGCUACACUGAGUAAUUCAAUGGGUAAGGGAACGCUAGAGCAUUACCUAAUCUUGAAAUUUGCUCGUGAUGGGGAUCGACGGUUGCAAUUUUCCGUCGUGAACGAGGAAUACCUUGUAGGCGCAUGUCAUCAUCAUGCGCCGAAUACGUCCCUGCCCUUUGUAUACACCGCCCGUCGCUCCUACCGAUUGAGUGAUCCGGUGAGGCUCUGGGACCUGGACGGAAAGAGCGUUUCGCUUGUUCUGUUUGGGAAACUUGGUCGAACCUUAUCAUUUAGAGGAAGGAGAAGUCGUAACA